UACGAGGGGUGCAAGCGUUAUUCGGAAUCAUUGGGCGUAAAGGGUGCGUAGACGGUUUUUUAAGUCUAUUGUUUAAUCCUCCAGCUUAACUGGAGAAAGGCAGUGGAAACUAAUUGACUAGAGGGUGAGAGAGAGAAGUGGAAUUCCUGGAGUAGCGGUCAAAUGCGUAGAUCUCAGGAGGAACACCGAUGGCGAAGGCAGCUUCUUGGCUCAUUCCUGACGUUGAGGCACGAAAGCGUGGGGAGCAAACAGG
rnacentral:rRNA from 1 species